AAGUCCUUGUCACCUCUGAAGGAUGUUGAUAUAUUAAUUCAACAGGACUUUUUACAACCGAUUGUUUGCAUCACGUGUUCAGAGAUGUCCAGUCCCCACGGUGCACUCGGCCGUGCAGUGCACUCUCUCUGUGUCUUCACCAUGUUGAGACGAAAGCACUACACGUUUCAUCAGCCGUGAUGGCCAAGCACUGGAACAGAUUUCGUGGUUCGUUGGGCCAAAGUGAUAGAUGACAUCUAUGGUGGGGAAGUGGCUUCUGAGCUUGCAGAAAUCCCGAGAUGGAGAAGGAAGCCACCAGGACUGGACCUGACUGCACAUCCCCACCUGUGAGGUGCGGCGUGUGAAGACUGCACCUGGGGAAACACUCAAGCCCCCUCAGAGAGGCAACCCCCCAAACAGUAAGACCAACUGCUGUGUUUCUCAGACUCUCCUACUUAAUGUGCUAAACAGAUCAAGUUCUUU
ensembl:lncRNA